CGUCAAUCUUCCCCUGUGUUCAGACUUAGACCGACCCUGAAAUUUACACCGUCAACUUAUUUGAAUCUGGUUUGUCUCCAAGAAAUCUGUUGAAAUCCUUGCUGGGCUGAUGGUCAUGCCCCGUUCUUUGCGCUGGUUUUGAACUUGUGCAAGAAGAAGCACAUCAUCGAAUGAAACCGUUUAAGUGUGUUUGGGGGAAAACAAUGCAGCAGAGACCAGUUCCCGUGGAGUGGCGCAUCCUUGAUGGAGCAGGCAUGCACACAGG